GGGGCCGACCGGUUUUGACAGCGAGGCCAAUUGGGAUGUAAGCAUGCCGAGCGCUGAAUUACAGCUCGUAAAUCUCAUUUUUCACACUUUUAAUAGGCGAGAAUAACUACGCUCUAGCUGCUUAAUCCGAAUUAUAGUAGGAUUUAGCCACGUCCUUACAAGGUAGGGAGGCCAGAUGUUCCUGAGAAGCCCUUGUUGUUGGCGUCUCAAUCCGGAACACCAUCAAAAGCAACAUAGAGAGAUUAAGGCUUCGGUAAUCUCUUAAAAAUAAAGAAGCUAAGGUUGUGUUGGGCGGUUUUCGGUCAGGCACCUCACGAAAAUCAAUCGAAAACUAAGCAUGAAGAAAGCAUUGUAAUUGCUUGUUUGGACGAGGGUUCGACUCCCUCCGGCUCCACUU
rfam:Flavobacteria bacterium MS024-3C ctg90, whole genome shotgun sequence.